AUUGAACGCUGGCGGCAUGCCUUACACAUGCAAGUCGAACGGCAGCGGACCUUCGGGUGCCGGCGAGUGGCGAACGGGUGAGUAAUGCAUCGGAACGUGCCAUUGAGUGGGGGAUAACGUAGCGAAAGUUACGCUAAUACCGCAUAUUCUGUGAGCAGGAAAGCAGGGGACCGCAAGGCCUUGCGCUCUUUGAGCGGCCGAUGUCAGAUUAGCUAGUUGGUGAGGUAAAGGCUUACCAAGGCAACGAUCCGUAGCUGGUCUGAGAGGAUGAUCAGCCACACUGGAACUGAGACACGGUCCAGACUCCUACGGGAGGCAGCAGUGGGGAAUAUUGGACAAUGGGCGGAAGCCUGAUCCAGCAAUGCCGCGUGUGUGAAGAAGGCCUCGG
rnacentral:rRNA from 1 species